UACGGGGGGGAGCAAGCGUUGUUCGGAUUUACUGGGCGUAAAAGGGCGCGUAGGCGGUCAGCACAAGUCAGUUGUGAAAUCUCCGAGCUUAACUCGGAACGGUCAACUGAUACUGUGCGACUAGAGUGCGGAAGGGGCAACUGGAAUUCUCGGUGUAGCGGUGAAAUGCGUAGAUAUCGAGAGGAACACCUGCGGCGAAGGCGGGUUGCUGGGCCGACACUGACGCUGAUGCGCGAAAGCCAGGGGAGCGAACGGG
rnacentral:rRNA from 1 species